rnacentral:rRNA from 1 species
AACGAUAAGCCACCUUCGGGUGGUGGACAGUGGCAGACGGGUGAGUAACGCGUGGGAACGUGCCUUUCGGUUCGGGAUAACCCAGGGAAACUUGGGCUAAUACCGGAUACGCCCUUCGGGGGAAAGAUUCAUUGCCGAAAGAUCGGCCCGCGUCGGAUUAGCUUGUUGGUGGGGUAAUGGCCUACCAAGGCGACGAUCCGUAGCUGGUCUGAGAGGAUGACCAGCCACACUGGGACUGAGACACGGCCCAGACUCCUACGGGAGGCAGCAGUGGGGAAUAUUGGACAAUGGGCGAAAGCCUGAUCCAGCCAUGCCGCGUGGGUGAAGAAGGCCUUAGGGUUGUAAACCCCUUUCAGCGGGGACGAUAAUGACGGUACCCGCAGAAGAAGUCCCGGCUAACUCCGUGCCAGCAGCCGCGGUAAUACGGAGGGGACUAGCGUUGUUCGGAAUUACUGGGCGUAAAGCGCACGUAGGCGGAUUUGUAAGUCAGGGGUGAAAUCCCGAGGCUCAACCUCGGAACUGCCUUUGAUACUGCAAAUCUCGAGUCCGGAAGAGGUGAGUGGUAUUCCUAGUGUAGAGGUGAAAUUCGUAGAUAUUAGGAAGAACACCAGUGGCGAAGGCGGCUCACUGGUCCGGUACUGACGCUGAGGUGCGAAA